AGAAAUCUAGUUAAUUUAUAACAUGAGCCUGUCACGCUCAAAUAGCACCUGCCCUGCGAUUUCUG
rnacentral:tRNA from 1 species